rnacentral:rRNA from 1 species
AACGAACGCUGGCGGCAGGCCUAACACAUGCAAGUCGAGCGAAGCCUUCGGGCUUAGCGGCGGACGGGUGAGUAACGCGUGGGAACGUGCCCUUCUCUGCGGAAUAGCCACUGGAAACGGUGAGUAAUACCGCAUACGCCCUUAGGGGAAAGAUUUAUCGGAGAAGGAUCGGCCCGCGUUAGAUUAGGUAGUUGGUGGGGUAAUGGCCUACCAAGCCUACGAUCUAUAGCUGGUUUGAGAGGAUGAUCAGCCACACUGGGACUGAGACACGGCCCAGACUCCUACGGGAGCAGCAGUGAGAUCUGAGGACCUGAUCCAGCCAUGCCGCGUGAACG